rnacentral:lncRNA from 1 species
UCUCUCUUUCUCCACCAUUUUUUAAAUCUCUUAUCAUUUUCACUCACCCAUCAUCUCACACUCUCUCCUCUUCCCUUCUUCAUUUUUUUUUAAUUUCAUCUUUUGGGAUUGGACACUCAAGGCCUCAAGGGAAUUAUCAUCAAGAGUACCACACCUUAAUUUGGGUAGUUGGGUGAAGAAAUUGCUUGAUUCAUACUAGCUCAUAGUUAGAAGUGACCAAGCUAACUCUCCCCUCUCUUCCUUAUUAUCUAUUUCAUAAUUUUUGCAUACUUUUGUUGAUGAAUUCUUGUAUGGGUUGUGAGUAGUUUAAUUUUGGGAGUUAGGGUUGUGAAGCCCUAACUCAUAUUGUAUAAAUAUUGAUGCUUUAAUUUUAAUAAAUGCAAUUUCCAUUGUGCUUUGUCACCCUUUGAAAUUAUGUUGUGGGCAAUUGUGAUGAGUAGAUUGAUAAAUUGACAACUUAUUGGUCUUGUUGCAUCUAGGAUUUAAGUG